CUUGGUUUUGAUACUGAAAAUUCUUAGUAUUGAAAAACUCUAUCUUCAUUGAAUCUUUAAAGCUCAAAGCAUAGAGAAAAUUUGAAAAAGAAAGAACUCAAAUUAAAUUCUAAAAAUUGAAUGUCUUGGAUUUUCGUCUUGCUUGAUUUUGAUAAUUCAUUUUAAAUCUUUUUCUUAAGCUUUUUGAUGCUGUCAAAAAGGAGGAGAGUAUGAUGUUGAGUAUAUGCUUGAGAUG
rnacentral:lncRNA from 1 species